AUUGAACGCUGGCGGCAGGCCUACACAUGCAAGUCGAGCGGUAGAGAGAAGCUUGCUUCUCUUGAGAGCGGCGGACGGGUGAGUAAUGCCUAGGAAUCUGCCUGGUAGUGGGGGAUAACGUUCGGAAACGGACGCUAAUACCGCAUACGUCCUACGGGAGAAAGCAGGGGACCUUCGGGCCUUGCGCUAUCAGAUGAGCCUAGGUCGGAUUAGCUAGUUGGUGGGGUAAUGGCUCACCAAGGCGACGAUCCGUAACUGGUCUGAGAGGAUGAUCAGUCACACUGGAACUGAGACACGGUCCAGACUCCUACGGGAGGCAGCAGUGGGGAAUAUUGGACAAUGGGCGAAAGCCUGAUCCAGCCAUGCCGCGUGUGUGAAGAAGGUCUUCGGAUUGUAAAGCACUUUAAGUUGGGAGGAAGGGCAGUAAAUUAAUACUUUGCUGUUUUGACGUUACCGACAGAAUAAGCACCGGCUAACUCUG
rnacentral:rRNA from 1 species